GUCUCCCUGGCCUGUUUGCCAGUCAGUCAAGUCCCGAGCCGAUAAUUAUACUUUAGGAGGCUCCUCGAUGUGGCUGGAGUGCAAGUCCACACAGUAAGUGGAAAGCCCGAUUCCUCUCAGCAGCCUCCCUCGUGACCUUCCGGCCACGGCAAGCAUUGACAGCGGCAGGGUGGGGAGAUC
rnacentral:other from 1 species